UUUUAGUGCAGUUAUGGAUUUUCGUGUUCAACAUUUGACCGUCCGUCUUAUUUCAAAACUUUAUGCAAAAAUAAAAAAAGUAGUCACACAUAAAGUAUUAUUCAUGUUUUACCAUCUAAUAGCAAUAAAAUACUAAUCAUAUUUUUUUUUCAAAUAAGAUGGACGGUCAAACAUUGGAGCAAAAUUGUGGUCUUUCUAGGA
rnacentral:pre_miRNA from 1 species